rnacentral:rRNA from 1 species
GACGAACGCUGGCGGCGUGCCUAAUACAUGCAAGUUGAGCGAUGAAGAUUGGUGCUUGCACCAAUUUGAAGAGCAGCGAACGGGUGAGUAACGCGUGGGGAAUCUGCCUUUGAGCGGGGGACAACAUUUGGAAACGAAUGCUAAUACCGCAUAACAACUUUAAACAUAAGUUUUAAGUUUGAAAGAUGCAAUUGCAUCACUCAAAGAUGAUCCCGCGUUGUAUUAGCUAGUUGGUGAGGUAAAGGCUCACCAAGGCGAUGAUACAUAGCCGACCUGAGAGGGUGAUCGGCAACAUUGGGACUGAGACACGGCCCAAACUCCUACGGGAGGCAGCAGUAGGGAAUCUUCGGCAAUGGACGAAAGUCUGACCGAGCAACGCCGCGUGAGGGAAGAAGGGUUUCGGAUCGUAAAACUCGGUUGGUAGAGAAGAACGUUGGUGAGAGUGGAAAGCUCAUCAAGUGACGGUAACUACCCAGAAAGGGACGGCUAACUACGUG